CUUUUCCUAUGUUUGAAAGGAAGCACCCUUUCAUCUCUCUUUAACCCGAUGACAUUCUCCACAAAGGUUAAGGAAAGGUGGCAUAAAGGGAGAAGGAAACCAGGAGCGAACGGACCACAGAGAUCCAGAGCGAGUGGAGUUCAUAUCAAGAACACACAAAGAGACGACGCACCAGGCGCUUUUGGACUCGGGCUGCAUGCAGACCAUGAUCCACCAGCGUCUGGUGCGGUUCGAGGCAUUGGUGGAGGCGCUGAGCAUUUCGGGAGAAGGAAACCAGGAGAGAACGGACCACAGAGAUCCAGACAGAGUGGAGAUCAUAUCAAGAACCCACAAAGAGACGACUCUUGGAGAACCUUUGUUAUAGUUUGUUCUAGAGUAUUUUUGUUCUCCUUCUAAAGACAAUAAAACGAUCUCCCGCUGAGGGACGACA